rnacentral:rRNA from 1 species
UAGUCCACGCCCUAAACGAUGCUAACUGGUUAUUUGCCUGCAUGGGCAAGUAACUGAGGGAAACCAUUAAGUUAGCCACCUGGGGAGUACGUUCGCAAGAAUGAAACUCAAAGGAAUUGACGGGGGCCCGCACAAGCGGAGGAACAUGUGGUUUAAUUCGAUGAUACGCGAGGAACCUUACCUGGACUUAAAUGUAGAUUGCAUAGCUUAGAGAUAGGCUUUUCUUCGGACUAUUUACAAGGUGCUGCAUGGUUGUCGUCAGCUCGUGCCGUGAGGUGUCGGGUUAAGUCCCGUAACGAGCGCAACCCCUAUCCUUAGUUGCCAGCGGGUCAUGCCGGGGACUCUGAGGAGACUGCCACCGUAAGGUGUGAGGAAGGUGGGGAUGACGUCAAAUCAGCACGGCCCUUAUGUCCAGGGCUACACACGUGUUACAAUGGACGGUACAAAGGGCAGCUACCUGGCGACAGGAUGCUAAUCUCUAAAGCCGUUCUCAGUUCGGAUCGAAGUCUGCAACCCGUA